rnacentral:rRNA from 1 species
UACGGAGGGUGCAAGCGUUAUCCGGAUUCACUGGGUUUAAAGGGUGCGUAGGUGGGUCUGUAAGUCAGUGGUGAAAUCUCCGUGCUUAACAUGGGAACUGCCAUUGAUACUAUAGAUCUUGAAUUUUCUGGAGGUAAGCGGAAUAUGUCAUGUAGCGGUGAAAUGCUUAGAUAUGACAUAGAACACCAAUUGCGAAGGCAGCUUACUACGGGAACAUUGACACUGAGGCACGAAAGCGUGGGGAUCAAACAGG